rnacentral:rRNA from 1 species
AGGACGAACGCUGGCGGCGUGCCUAACACAUGCAAGUCGAGCGAGGAGAUUCCUCGGGAUGAUCCUAGCGGCGGACGGGUGAGUAACACGUGGGCAACCUGCCUCAUAGAGAGGAAUAGCCUUCCGAAAGGGAGAUUAAUACCUCAUAACAUUGCAGUUUCGCAUGGAACAGCAAUUAAAGGAGUAAUCCGCUAUGAGAUGGGCCCGCGGCGCAUUAGCUAGUUGGUGAGGUAACGGCUCACCAAGGCGACGAUGCGUAGCCGACCUGAGAGGGUGAUCGGCCACAUUGGGACUGAGACACGGCCCAGACUCCUACGGGAGGCAGCAGUGGGGAAUAUUGCACAAUGGGGGAAACCCUGAUGCAGCAACGCCGCGUGAGUGAUGACGGCCUUCGGGUUGUAAAGCCCUGUCUUCAGGGACGAUAAUGACGGUACCUGAGGAGGAAGCCACGGCUAACUACGUGCCAGCCGCCGC